AGUGAACGCUGGCGGUAGGCCUAACACGUGCAAGUCGAACGGCAGCACAGUAAGAGCUUGCUCUUACGGGUGGCGAGUGGCGGACGGGUGAGGAAUACAUCGGAAUCUACUUUUUCGUGGGGGAUAACGUAGGGAAACUUACGCUAAUACCGCAUACGACCUACGGGUGAAAGCAGGGGAUCUUCGGACCUUGCGCGAUUGAAUGAGCCGAUGUCGGAUUAGCUAGUUGGCGGGGUAAAGGCCCACCAAGGCGACGAUCCGUAGCUGGUCUGAGAGGAUGAUCAGCCACACUAGAACUGAGACACGGUCCAGACUCCUACGGGAGGCAGCAGUGGGGAAUAUUGGACAAUGGGCGCAAGCCUGAUCCAGCCAUACCGCGUGGGUGAAGAAGGCCUUCGGGUUGUAAAGCCCUUUUGGUGGGAAAGAAAAGCAGCAGGUUAAUACCCCGCUGUUCUGACGGUACCCAAAGAAUAAGCACCGGCUAACUUCGUG
rnacentral:rRNA from 1 species